CUCUCGGAGAACUCCAUGGUGCGGGGAAGGCGGCGGCGGGGGCUGAGGAGGCGGCGGCAGCGGCGGCAGCGGCAGCGGCGGCAGCGGCAGCGGCGGCGCGGGCUCGUGUCACCGCGGCGGAGCCGCCGGGACCAAGGCGACGCGCUGAUUUUAAGCAAGUUUUAGGGGGAAAAAACUUACCCAUUUGCGCUCUCUCUAGAAGGACAGAGAGGAGGUUUUAGAAUAUUGUGGAGAAGAAUAUAGUAGAGAGCUCCCAUUCCCUAACCCAGGCUGGGCGGAUUGUGGAAAGAGCCGAGUCACAUUCAAGGAGAGCACUUGGAAUGGGGGGCUUGGUGGCCCUGGGGACUCUCAGGAGGCCAUGGUCAAGGCAGGUGCAGGGCACUAUGCUUCUCCACGUCAUAUGUCGGAAUCAUGGACCCAAACACAAAGCGCUUAGUAGUUAUGUGUAAUAUUCUUUUCGGGGGAUCAGAGAGCGCACUUCAGGCACCAUUUCUUUCUCACAUCUUUCGAGUGGGCCAGGAAAAGAAUUUCACACUACCUGGGAAUGGUAGGACAGGAACAUGACGGGACAUGCGUGAAAGUAUCUGCCAAACCCAACCAGGAAGAGGGGACACAGAGUAGGACAACUGCCGAGGAAGGGGGACAUUGAGGCAGCUUGCAGAAACACACAUGGAGAAACAGAACCAAAGAGCAGGGUAACCAGCAAACCAGGCAGUGGAGGCAGGGAUGGGUACCCAUCCCGAGAUCUUGGGUGAUACCAAAGGCGGCACAUCCGGAAGGCUGGUUAUACCUAGCGUGGAGGGGAGAGGGAGAACUGUUUCUUCCGUUCAAUAAAGCAAACCCUUCAACAAG
rnacentral:lncRNA from 1 species